AGAGUUUGAUCCUGGCUCAGGACGAACGCUGGCGGCGCGCCUAACACAUGCAAGUCGAACGGAGCUUAAAGAGCUUGCUUUUUUAGCUUAGUGGCGAACGGGUGAGUAACGCGUGAGUAACCUGCCCUGGAGUGGGGGACAACAGUUGGAAACGACUGCUAAUACCGCAUAAGCCCACGGAUUCGCAUGGAUCUGCGGGAAAAGGAUUUAUUCGCUUCAGGAUGGACUCGCGUCCAAUUAGCUAGUUGGUGAGGUAACGGCCCACCAAGGCGACGAUUGGUAGCCGGACUGAGAGGUUGAACGGCCACAUUGGGACUGAGACACGGCCCAGACUCCUACGGGAGGCAGCAGUGGGGGAUAUUGCACAAUGGGGGAAACCCUGAUGCAGCGACGCCGCGUGGAGGAAGAAGGUUUUCGGAUUGUAAACUCCUGUCGUUAGGGACGAUAAUGACGGUACCUAACAAGAAAGCACCGGCUAACUACGUGCCAGCAGCCGCGGUAAAACGUAGGGUGCAAGCGUUGUCCGGAAUUACUGGGUGUAAAGGGAGCGCAGGCGGACCGGCAAGUUGGAAGUGAAAACUAUGGGCUCAACCCAUAAAUUGCUUUCAAAACUGCUGGCCUUGAGUAGUGCAGAGGUAGGUGGAAUUCCCGGUGUAGCGGUGGAAUGCGUAGAUAUCGGGAGGAACACCAGUGGCGAAGGCGACCUACUGGGCACCAACUGACGCUGAGGCUCGAAAGCAUGGGUAGCAAACAGGAUUAGAUACCCUGGUAGUCCAUGCCGUAAAC
rnacentral:rRNA from 1 species